UUAAAAAGUAGACGAAGUUUAUAAAAUUUCUGCCGACGCAGGAAGAGGGUCGCGGCAGCGCGGCCACGCUCGGCAGCGCGGCGCUCCCGGCUGCCGCGGCCGGGCACCGGAGCUGGACACGUCUGCGGUCACUGGAGCGAGCAUUCCGUGAAAUACCAGCAAGCCUGCCCAGCAUCGCCGUGAGACUCCCCCAGCAGCGCGGGAUGCUCCGAGCGGGCAGGACGCAGCCGUCUCCCUUCGGUGCGUAACAGUGCGUGUCACCUGGGCACGGUUUAUCGCUCCGGCUGCACAGCCAUUGUUUUAUAUUUCUCAAGUGCCAGCCUGGCCACGGCAGCGGUCCUGUUGGCUGCCCGGGUGUGUAUCUACGUGUGCCCGCGCGGAGGGACGGACGGGGAGAGGAAUGCCGCUCCUCCCUCCCCCUCCCCGGCCUUUAUCCUGGCCGCCUAUUUUAAUAAAUAAUUAUAGGCAACUAAAGGAUUUGUUCAUUCCAAAAGGUCUCCCCUUCAUAUUUCUCAGAGGUUCAGCUCAAGGAGACACCGUGAUAAUAAGGCUGACUCGGGAUUCCUACUCCACAAUGUCAUUAUGAGCUACCAUUUAAAAUGGAAAAAAAAAAUAAAGUCUGUAUAUUAUAUAUAAAA